UCUCCAGAUUGAUUUUAUGCUUGCAUAAAUGAUUUUUGGAUUGGGAGCGAGUGGCGAACUGGUGAGUAACACGUGGGUAACCUGCCCCGAAGCGGGGGAUAACAUUUGGAAACAAGUGCUAAUACCGCAUAAUUAGUUGGAACCGCAUGGUUCCAACUUGAAAGAUGGCUCUGCUAUCACUUUGGGAUGGACCCGCGCCGUAUUAGUUAGUUGGUGAGAUAAAAGCCCACCAAGACGAUGAUACGUAGCCGACCUGAGAGGGUAAUCGGCCACAUUGGGACUGAGACACGGCCCAGACUCCUACGGGAGGCAGCAGUAGGGAAUCUUCCACAAUGGACGAAAGUCUGAUGGAGCAACGCCGCGUGAGUGAUGAAGGUUUUCGGAUCGUAAAACUCUGUUGUUAAAGAAGAACAAGUGUUAGAGUAACUGUUAACACUUUGACGGUAUUUAACCAGAAAGCCACGGCUAACUACGUGCCAGCAGCCGCGGUAAUACGUAGGUGGCAAGCGUUGUCCGGAUUUAUUGGGCGUAAAGCGAGCGCAGGCGGUUUUGUAAGUCUGCUGUGAAAGCCCUCAGCUCAACUGAGGAAGUGCAGUGGAAACUACAAAACUUGAGUACAGAAGAGGAAAGUGGAACUCCAUGUGUAGCGGUGAAAUGCGUAGAUAUAUGGAAGAACACCAGUGGCGAAGGCGGCUUUCUGGUCUGUUACUGACGCUGAGGCUCGAAAGCAUGGGUAGCGAACAGGAUUAGAUACCCUGGUAGUCCAUGCCGUAAACGAUGAAUACUAGGUGUUGGAGGGUUUCCGCCCUUCAGUGCCGCAGCUAACGCAUUAAGUAUUCCGCCUGGGGAGUACGACCGCAAAGGUUGAAACUCAAGGAAUUGACGGGGGCCCGCACAAGUGGUGGAGCAUGUGGUUUAAUUCGAUGCUACGCGAAGAACCUUACCAGCUCUUGACAUCUUUCUGCCAACCCAAGAGAUUGGGCGUUUCCCUUCGGGGACAGAUGACAGGUGGUGCAUGGUUGUCGUCAGCUCGGGUCGUGAGAUGUUGGGUUUAAGUCCGCAC
rnacentral:rRNA from 1 species